CCCGGGCGGGCCGUCGCUGCGUCACGCUGCUCGCCCGCGGGCGCCCGCCCUUGCGCGCACGUCUUGGCGCCGGGUUGCCAGCGGUGUCCGGCUAGCAGGGACCGCCGCGGGGGGUACAACCGUUGUCCUGAGCCGUCCGCCGCCUCCCGGGUGCGCGGGCAUGCAUGGCUUGUGUCCUUGGGGAGAGCGUCGGAUUCCGG
rnacentral:rRNA from 1 species